GUACAUUCACGGAUGGGUGAUCCGAUGGCUGCGUCCGUCCGUAUGUAGUGUAUCACCAGCACACUCGUUCCAAACUUUCCCCUACCGCCGACAGCCCGCCAAGUCCCGAAUGGAUAUUACCUCGCUUAUGAUGAGGAAAACCGUGUCUAGAUCUUCGAAUUAAGGGAGCACACGUCUGGUAUAACCCAUGCCAAGAGAACUUCGGACAGCCGAAAUUGCAGCAAGAAAAUUGAAAAGAAAAACAAAUUGCUGGGGCAGUGUCCAAACUUGAAUCAACAGCACAUCAGUAGUCCAAGUAAUGGAACUUCAGCUACAGUUCCUUCAUAAGCAUGACCUCACCGCCGUCAAACGAUAUUCAGAAGAUCAGCAGUUUCUCAGUGACAGCGACGGCUGUCGGGUCGGGUCGUCCGAGGGAACAAUUUGUUGCUGCCCUAUUCGACAGUAUGGGGCAGAAUCUACCCUCUCAGCAACAAAGAGAUAGCGGCUUCGAAGCUCCCCCGAACACUAGGGAAAUCCAGCAAGACAUAUGCGCUACCCUGGGUCUGCGGAUCGAGAUUGGUUCCUGGAUUCCCGAUGAUUCUUCAACAUGCGACCUACUGGCGUUUUUGUGAUCUGCUGAUGUAGUGAGAA